AGAGCUUUUUUCUUCACUGAGGAAGGCACCGAGCUUGGUUGGAGUUGGUUUCUGGCUGCAGCUGUUGGUCCCGAAGGUUUGCUCAGCCCUACAUCUGCUACUGCAUGAAUGUGGAGGAAGAGGAGGAAUCCAGAGCCGUACAGCCCACCAUUUUCACAAGCUCAGAGGACAACCAGGGUCCUGCUUCAUCCCCAUCACCCAGUUUGUUUAGUGCCACGAAGGUCCCACGCUGCCAUCCCUGCUGAGACAUGGCAGAGAUGAUGAAGAGUGGGUUGAGUCAAGAUGACAAGGACCAUAUUGGUAGUCAAGGUGGUGCACUUACUGGCCAUUUUGUUCAUCAAGAUGAGGUUUUGGAUCUAACACAAAUGGCCAAGAAGGAUUUCAGAGUGAGGAGAAGCAGCUGUUGACGGGGAGCAGGGUGGCUUCUCUGGGGUUUAUUGUUUUAAUCAUGGCCUAAGCGAAAGUGACAGCAUGAAGAUGAAAUAUCUGCUGAAAGGAAAUCAUAACUCUGGGUGACUCCACUUAGCUCUGUGACAGGCGAGGGUGUAUUUUCGUUGGACACGGUGGAUUGUGAUCUCAAUGGAGCUUUUGCUGGAACCUUCCUCCUGCCUUAGUGUUGGUGGGUUUGUGGCAUCCCCAGCGCAGCAUGGGAGCUCUUAGACCUACCUGAAGCCUUUUGUUGAAGCUGACCUGCUGGCCUCGGUGGGGUCUGGUUUCUGGGGAGAUCUCAAGAUGGGAAGCCACAAUACUGAAUGGGGCUUUGUAAUCCCAAAGGAGACAAGGAGGACAAGGCAGUGAGCAUGGGGUCUGCUCAUCAGGGAAGAGAAGGACCUUCCCACUGGGGAUGAAGCAUGCCAGAAGAGGAGAAAAGGCUGUUAGGCUGAGAACGAAUGACCAGCAGGAACCCAACCUACCAGGGUCAUGGCCACCCCACCGAACAUCUGGCACACAGGACCUCUGCACGCCCCAUUGCCUGGCCCCAGUGGGUUAAAUGGUGCACGUGGCUGUAAAGUGUUUGAGCUGGCGCAUCUCUGAGCACCAUAAACAUGGGGGAGAACAGUUUCUAAAAUAGCAUCUUUCAUGUUCCCGAAAAAAUGUUCUCAUGUGCUCUGCUGGCUGAAACCACUGUUACGAAACAAAAUGCUUCCCAUAAGCAGUCAUUAGGGCUUGAGCCUGGGCUGGGGUGCUGCUUGAUACAACGAGAGCAGUUAACGAGAGCAGAACAGGACCAGAACAGAAAAGUCAGCAGAGUUGUUAUUUUCUUAAUUAAAAAAACACAUCCUAAACCGCUAAUGGUGCCAGAACACUCCCAGUCCUUCUGUUGGAUGGGAGCCCUGGCAGCGCCUUCAUGCAGAGCUCAACCUCCAGCCCCUGUGCUGGGACAGGGUGACGGGGGGUGGGGGGACAAUCACAGAUGUCCCCAUGCAGCCACGUGUGUCCCCACCUGCACAGCUCCAUGGGCUGCGUGCCUGAGGGUGGCUCACUCCAUAGAUUUUUCUCUUUGAGGACGGUGUUGCUGCAUUGCGUGUAAGUUGAUUUCAUUGCAUGUGUUGAAUUUAUUGAAGUGAACAGGGAGAAGUGUGGGCUGUACAGGAGCAGGAAGGUGCCUGUGCCCAAAAACGUUUUGGAAAUGUGUGUUGCAUGUGCCAUACACAUGCAACUGAUAUUUGUUUGUGCUGUACUAAUGCACGCAGCUAUAUUCUUGAGUUUCAGCCGUAGGUGCAUGAUUCACUGAAUGGUAGGGGCUGGAAGGGACCUCUGGAGACCAUUGAGCCCAACCCCACACUGAAGCAGGUUCCCUACAGUAGGUUGAGCAGGAAAACACCCAGGCAGGUUUUGAAUAUCUCCAGUUUGGAGUGCAGUCCAGGCUCUGCUCCCCCAUCCAGCCAAUGCAUGUGCCAUGUUUUUCACUGAGGACCUGCAGGUAACACAGACCCUCUGCGGCAGCAAAAAUGAUGAAUUAAAAGAAAGAGAAGGGGACAGAGAGGAGGUAAGUGCUGGAGGGGACUGAGGAAGGAUCUGCAGUGCUUUGGGACUGAGACAAGCCUUCGUGUCCCUCUGCCCAGCUGCUGCUGUGGGGCUCCUGUCCCUGGUGUUCUUUUUUGGAGAGGUUUGCAUAGUGUGGCUGAAAUGCUGCUUGCCCACCACCCUCGCUGCUGUUGUUCACCUUUCCUCCUUUUCCAAAAAAGGGAUUUGAGGGAGUUGUUUAAGGAAAAAAAAACAACUACCUCAUUGUUUUUCCUGGCCAAAUGCUACCUGAAAUCUGACGACCCCCUCCAGAACUUUUAUGCGCUUAAACGUCACUGUUUCAGCGAAUUCUAAAAUUUGUGGUUUAUUUGACACCAAGUGACUCUGCUCGUACUUGUUUUUCCUGGGAUGCCUUCAAGGUACGAGUCAUUAAACAACCACUUCUUGAAGGUGCUGGCGUGCUGGCCAUGUCCUGUUAUGGAUGAGUAACAGGGAAAUGAGCACUUGCUGAUUAACAGCGAUUCCCACAUUAAUGAUGAACACGAUGGGGAAGGAGCCAGAAUUUGAAGCUUGGCGUGCCAGCUUGGUGACGUGGGGACCGCUGGCUCCUUCCGAUGCCAGAGCAUGCUCAGAGCUGUCAAUCAAAAACCAGCCAUCAGCUCCAGCUACUUUCUGGCCAUACCUGCAGAUGUUCAAGAUGCUGAUGUACCUGCCUGAAGCAUGAAGCUGCUGUGGACUUCACUUGCAUCACAGGAAUAUUUCCUCUGAGUGACAGCUCUGCUGGGCUCUUCCCAUGGAGAACAAGAGAAGGAGAUGGGCAUCACCUCCCUUGUAGGACCGGGUCAUGAUGGGUUCCCAUCAAAGAGAUGGAGGAAGGGAAGCAUGCUGCAAAUGCUUUCUGUCACCAGGCAGCUUCCCUUAGACUUUGCGUUUCAUUUUAUUACUAGAAAACAUUAGCAGGGCAAUACGUCAGCAGGGGCCAGGACACGGUGUCCCCAAGAACUUGCCCUCCAGCAGUAAGACUCCAUGCUCAGUGUCUUGCAGGUGGCUCCUCUUGAAGCCCUACCUCUGGCAGGCUGUGUAAAUCUCUCUUCGAUCUCUGGUGGGACAUAAAUCUCCCCCAAAACGCAAUGCCUACCAAACAUUAUUGCAUGAUUGAGACAUAAAUCCUGUGUCAGCUCGGUGGAACAUCUGUGGCUACCAAGCUAACCAAGUCAAGACAGCUCCUUAACUAUUCCCAAACAUUAGCUUAUGAAGACGCAGACAACGAGCAGCCCAUCUGAAAUGCUUUCGAAGCAGCCGUUCGUCAUGUUUGUACAAGUCAUAAACAGGUUCUAUGGCUUCUGUCCCUGCCUUGAGCUUUUGGGAAUGGUGAUGUGGCGAUGUGGGAGUCGCCUUGGUUCUCAGGCUUUGAUUUUUCUUACAUUGAAGGAUAUCCUUGAUUCCCUGAAGUGCAGGUGGGGCCGUGAUUGUGCUCCAUCCCUUUGAGCCUCAGUCAUGCAUGGCAGCAUCUCAGGGCUGGUGGAGCUUGGAGCUGAGCCUUCGCACAACUGCCCAGGGAGAUCUCCCUGCAGGAGAAUGAAUCAGUCCUGCCGGCAGCUGGAGCAGCCCAAUGACGUGAGGUCAGGGGCUGGGCAGGGGAAGAUUUAAAGCCCUUUCUCUCCAGAACACGAACUCCUAUGACUUGGCUGUUUCAGCAGCUGUUACGGUCCUUGAUGGCGUGAAAUGUCAGCGAUGGACUUUGCCCAGCAUUUAUGUAAACUCUGAACUGUGCGCAGCCACGGGGCCAAGCUAUAAAUCUCCCAGAAGGAGCAAGGUUACAGAGCCUUCCAGGGCAAGCUGAAGUUGGAAGCAGAGGGAGGCUGAAUGUGUCUCUUGGCUCCCCACGGCCCUGGAUGCAGCAUCCAAGGGGAUGCCGUCUUUGGAGAGCCUCCACCACCUACCUGGCUGGAGACCUGAGUACUACUGGCCCUGUCCCAUGCUCUUUGAGGGUCACCUGCUCCUCAUGUUUCCUCUGUUCUGUAGAGGAUCUUGGGCUCUGCAGAGAGAUGCUUGAUCUUGGUGUCCCCGGAUGUGUGGGCAUGGCACCAAGGGACGUGGACUGCUGAUAGGACUUGGUAGGUCAAGUUGGUGAGUGGAGUCGAUGAUCUUGAAUGUCUUUUCCAACCAGGCUGGUUCUGUGAUUCCACGUCUAAACGGCUCAGCUGCAUUUUGGGCCGGCACAGAGGGUUUGCUCCCCUUUGCCUCUUUCAGCUCAUGGCUAAAGCAACAUCUCCCAUUUGGUCCUGUCACAGUAGCUCCUCCCCAGCUCACAUCUCCAGCCUCACCAGCAGCCCUUACACUUGGUUUCAUAACCCCUUGGUUAUGAACUCACUUGGUUCAGCUCUCCCCUACAGACAAGAAACAGAAGAAGUUAUGUUCUCCAGCUCUCCACCAAAUUUUCAGUCUGCUGAGUAGCAGCACUUCAAAAAUUACAAUAUACAAAGUGCCCAAAGUGAAGGAUGUUGUUCUUGGGAGAUAAUGUUCUCAAGCACAAAUUGCUUUUGACACUGGAAGUUUGGCUUCUAUGAACAGCUGCCUGGCAUUGGGCAGAGGGCAGCAGUGGAGGUGCUGGAACUGGUAUUUGUGAUAUUUACUGGUAAAUGUGUGCAAGUGAAAAGGAAAGAACUUCACUGGCAGAACCGUACUAAGUUAAUUUUGUAUGUCAUGUUUUUAUCAGCAUUAAUAUGAAUGUCAGACUUGUCCACUCAGAUUUGGAGGAUGUGAAAACAAGGCCCUGUGCUGUUUAAGUGUCUUCAAAUGGUAAUAAAAGCACCACAUGAUCCCCAAAAUGUGUGUUAAAAGGAGAAUACCAUUGCACUAUGGCUUGCUCACAGCAGAUAUAUGGUCCCAGUCACCUGGGCCAGACCCCAUCACUGAGGCACUGUCCACAUCCCGCUGUGUGCACGUGGGUCUGGACCAGCAUCCCCAAGGGGAGGAAAAGC